CACCGGGGUGUUUGGAACACAACACUAGAGAGGUGACACUGGUGUCUUUGGAACACAGCACUAAAGAGGUGACACUGGGGUAUUUGGGACACAACACUAGAGAGGUGACACUGGUGUCUUUGGAACACAACACUAGAGAGGUGACACUGGUGUCUUUGGAACACAGCACUAAAGAGGUGACACCGGGGUGUUUGGAACACAACACUAGAGAGGUGACACUGGUGUCUUUGGAACACAACACUAGAGAGGUAAUACUAGUGCCUUUGGAACACAGCACUAAAGAGGUGACACUGGUGUCUUUGGAACACAACACUAGAGAGGUGACACUGGUGUCUUUGGAACACAGCACUAAAGAGGUGACACCGGGGUGUUUGGAACACAACACUAGAGAGGUGA